rnacentral:rRNA from 1 species
UACGUAGGGGGCAAGCGUUGUCCGGAAUCAUUGGGCGUAAAGCGCGCGUAGGCGGUCCGGUAAGUCCGCUGUGAAAGUCGGGGGCUCAACCCUCGGAUGCCGGUGGAUACUGUCGGGCUUGAGUGCGGAAGAGGCGAGUGGAAUUCCUGGUGUAGCGGUGAAAUGCGCAGAUAUCAGGAGGAACACCAAUUGCGAAGGCAGCUCGCUGGGACGUUACUGACGCUGAGGAGCGAAAGUGUGGGGAGCGAACAGG